CUUGGUCCUAGCAAGUUUCUAUUUCGUGGUGCCUGCGAUUUCUACCCCUUGUUCAAGUCGUGGAAUAGUCACAAUAUGAUUUCUUAGCCCAAGCAAGUUCCGACUUAGGACAAACACCGGUCUGGCCCUGGCUGCGAUUUCUAGGUGCUGUAAAGGGAGCCACAAAUACAAAGAUGAGACACUAGCUGCAGCUUUCACAACUCUAACUGCUGAAGAUGGUGUUUCACUAUGUUGCCUGGGCUGGUUUUGGGUUCUCGCCGCAAGUAAUCCUCCUGACUCAGCCUCCUAAAGUGCUGGGAUUACAGAUGUCAGCCACCAUGUCCAGUGCAUAAUAAA